rnacentral:rRNA from 1 species
GACGUAGGGCGCGAGCGUUGUCCGGAUUUAUUGGGCGUAAAGAGCUCGUAGGCGGCUUGUUGCGUCGGCUGUGAAAACCCAUGGCUCAACCGUGGGCUUGCAGCCGAUACGGGCAGGCUAGAGUUCGGUAGAGGAGUGUGGAAUUCCUGGUGGAGCGGUGAAAUGCGCAGAGAUCAGGAGGAACACCCGUAGCGAAGGCGGCACUCUGGGCCGAUACUGACACUGAGGAGCGAAAGCGUGGGGAGCGAACAGG